rnacentral:rRNA from 1 species
UACGGAGGGGGCUAGCGUUGUUCGGAAUUACUGGGCGUAAAGCGCACGUAGGCGGCUUUGUAAGUUAGAGGUGAAAGCCCGGGGCUCAACUCCGGAAUUGCCUUUAAGACUGCAUCGCUAGAAUUGUGGAGAGGUAAGUGGAAUUCCGAGUGUAGAGGUGAAAUUCGUAGAUAUUCGGAAGAACACCAGUGGCGAAGGCGACUGACUGGACAAGUAUUGACGCUGAGGUGCGAAAGCGUGGGGAGCAAAGCAGG